rnacentral:rRNA from 1 species
UACGUAGGGCGCGAGCGUUGUCCGGAAUUAUUGGGCGUAAAGAGCUCGUAGGCGGCCGGUUGCGUCUGCUGUGAAAUCCCGGGGCUUAACCCCGGGCCUGCAGUGGGUACGGGCAGACUAGAGUGCGGUAGGGGAGACUGGAAUUCCUGGUGUAGCGGUGAAAUGCGCAGAUAUCAGGAGGAACACCGGUGGCGAAGGCGGGGUCUCUGGGCCGUAACUGACGCUGAGGAGCGAAAGCGUGGGGAGCGAACAGG